rnacentral:rRNA from 1 species
AACGAACGCUGGCGGCAGGCUUAACACAUGCAAGUCGUACGCCCCGCAAGGGGAGUGGCAGACGGGUGAGUAACGCGUGGGAAUCUACCUAGUUCUACGGAACAACAGAGGGAAACUUCUGCUAAUACCGUAUACGCCCUAAGGGGGAAAGAUUUAUCGGAAUUAGAUGAGCCCGCGUAAGAUUAGCUAGUUGGUGGGGUAAUGGCCUACCAAGGCGACGAUCUUUAGCUGGUCUGAGAGGAUGAUCAGCCACACUGGGACUGAGACACGGCCCAGGCUCCUACGGGAGGCAGCAGUGGGGAAUAUUGGACAAUGGGCGCAAGCCUGAUCCAGCCAUGCCGCGUGAGUGAUGAAGGCCUUAGGGUUGUAAAGCUCUUUCAGUGGGGACGAUAAUGACGGUACCCACAGAAGAAGCCCCGGCUAACUUCGUGCCAGCCGCCGCGGUAACAC